rnacentral:rRNA from 1 species
GUUGUAAACCUCUUUCAGUAGGGAAGAAGCGAAAGUGACGGUACUAGAGGAAUCAGCAUCGGCUAACUCCGUGCCAGCAGCCGCGGUAAGACGGAGGAUGCAAGCGUUAUCCGGAAUGAUUGGGCGUAAAGCGUCCGCAGGUGGCAGUUCAAGUCUGCUGUCAAAGACCGGGGCUUAACUUCGGAAAGGCAGUGGAAACUGAACAGCUAGAGUAUGGU